GUGUGACAUAUAUAUAUCAUGCACAUGUCCCAAAACUAUACAAAACCAAGGGGCAUAUGCAAAUGUGAUCUCCAUGAGUGCUCCCAAAAAUACUACUUCAUAAGGCCGUCUUCAAAUUUCAUCAUGUGCAUUACCUACGAUAGAAAAUAACUAUCGCUAAGCAUAAAGCUUAGUGGCAUAUAAACUUUGGUCUUGGAGCCAUUAAAUUCUCUAAUUUCCCUUUUCAGUCACAGGUAGCUCAAAUUUGACAUAAUUUAAAACAAGUGAACAAAUAUAUCAAAAGUAUUAAAUAUAUAACCUUGAAGUGUUUCCAAAUAUCAAUAACAAUAUUCUAGAGUCGAAAAAGUGUAUACUAUCAAUUCAAGAGAGUUUGCCAAAUAUCUAUUUUUUCGCCCAAUAUGUACGUCAUGCCAUCACACUAAGCAUAAUCAGAUAUCAAGAUGGAUCGAAGGCCCAAAUCAAGUGGGGUAAAAAUCCAAUAGUUAAGAGAAUCAAGAACCAUAUUAAAAAUGGCUUCCUAAUUCGUACUUAACACAGACAAGUUCCAUAAUUUAAGACGAACUACAAAUCCAAAGUCAAGAUGUCAAAAGAUCCAAAUCAAGAGGCAUGCCAAGAUGAGUGACAAAGUCACUGCCACAAGAAGGGCAAAGUCCCAACAAGAAUGUAAAAUGGUCAAGAAAAUUCGUACGAGUGGGCGAUUUAGCGAAUAUCUUACAAUACUUGAUAUAAUACAAAUACCACGAUAUAAAUUAAAGAAAAAAUAAAUAAAAUCUCAAGUUAUUUCAAACCAUUCCAGCACAUAAAAAUAGUACAAAGUUUAUACACAAACCUUGGUGUUUUACCACAAAACAGUUCAAUCACAACUUGAGGACAAUUGAAUCGUCUACGCCAUAGACAAACCAAAUCUGUCAACUUUCUUAAACAGUUCCCCUUAAAUUUUACAAGGGUAUAUAUACCUUAAAUACAUAAUCAAAUAUCUAUAUAAGUUCAGUGAUUUAACAUGUCAAACUAAACAUGAUAUUGCUGAAAAUUACCCAAAAUAUUUGAAACAGAAAUUCUGGACAGUAUCACUGUCUUGUGUUGUGACUCAGUUUUGAAGAUGAAAAAGGACAAACUAGACUGUAUGGUCUUAGCGUUUCAUAACAUCUUGAAUCACCCCAAUAUCAGUUUCGUACAAAGAGUUAUGCUAAAAUUACUAACAGUAGUACAGAGAGUAUUUUUAAAACUGAAAAUCUGGGCAGCACCUGCUCUGUCCUUUAUGAUCCCUUCUCAGGUAAAUGCAGGCAAAACUAAAUUUUGGUUACUGAAUAAGAGUUAUAGAUCUAUGUAAUAGCUUUCUAUAAAGUCUUAGAUCAAUUAAAACGAAGCUCUAUACAAAAUAUAUUAAGAAAACACUAAUAGUUGUCCAGUGUAAAAACGGGUUUAGUAACUUACCACAAAAGAGAGGAGCAACUUGAGUUUCACCAAGAACGAGUUUUGCUGGUUGGUUUACUGAAUAUUUAUGAUGGUUUUCAUGAAAUUUUUCAGGUGAUAAGAAGGAGAGAGGGUAUGGGUUUUCUUUGUCUUGAAAGAAUGAAAUAUGAGAGGAGGUUAUUGGAAAGCAAGUCAACCAAAGUAAUUGUCACGACCCAAAAUCCAACUAGUCGUGAUGGCACCUAACUCAACCCGCUAGGUAAGACAACUUUCAAUUAUCCAAUUUCAAUAAUAAUUUUAAAGCAAUUUAAGUAAAUAAAGAUCUUAAUCUUAUACAUUUCCCAAGAACUAGUAGCACAAAUCAUUAGCUUCUAAGAAUAGAAUUUACAAAGCUGGUAUGAAGUAAAUACAUCAUCUCUUUGAAAAGUACAAAAAUAGAGUUUUAUGAAUCUAAGGCUACCAUGAACAAGAGGAACUUACAACCAGAACGUAGGUACAUCUUCAAAUCCGGCAACCAUCGAGCAUAGCAACAACAUCAGUCAAUAUCUGCACGCAAUGUGCAUAAGUAUAGUAUCAGUAUAACCGACCUCAUGUACUGAGUAAGUAACAAACCUAGCCUUGGGUUGAAAGUAGUGACGAGCUUUUACUAAGGUUGGGUCCCAAACUAAUAGUCCACAACAAUCCAUAACAACGUAAAGCAAAUAAUACCAGAAGUAACUCAGAGAUAAAAUACUCAGCUAAAUCAUAAUUUAAAAAAUAAUAGUUCUUCCUUUCAAGUACAUCAGUGAAAACUCUAAUCGUUUACCGAAGUUGCCAAAAAUAUGAAUAAGUUUGAAAACAAUAACUUUUCCCAAAAUCUUUUCAAUAAUAACUUAGAUGUUUCAUUUUCUUUCUAGAUAACCCGUGUAAACAAGUGCAUCACUAUGCCCAUCUGUCAACAUGUAUGAGAAAUCAUGAAUGAUGUGAUACUGUACAGCACGAGAAAAGAUACAUCUCUAUGUCUGUAUGUCAUGUGUGCAUGUCAAUACGAUGCAACUCAGUGAUAAAAUCAUAUGCAUACUCUCAAAGUAUCAUUUCACUUAGUCCUCCCAGUCACUCAGUCCUCUCAGUCCUCACAGUCACUCAGUCCUCCCAAUCGCUUGGCACUCGCACUCAGUAGGUACCUGCGUUCACUGGGGGUGUGUACAGACUCCGGAGGGGCUCCUUCAGCUCAAGCGCUAUAAUAUACACAGACAACUCACGUGCUACACAGACAACUCACGUGCUAUAAUAAUAUAUGGAUCCGCACGGACAACUCACGUACUGCACGGACAACUCACGUGCUAUAAUAAUAUCCGGAUCCGCACAGACAACUCACGUGCUAUAAUAAAGCCUAUAAGGCCUGCUGCAGGAGGGNNNNNNNNNNNNNNNNNNNNNNNNNNNNNNNNNNNNNNNNNNNNNNNNNNNNNNNNNNNNNNNNNNNNNNNNNNNNNNNNNNNNNNNNNNNNNNNNNNNNNNNNNNNNNNNNNNNNNNNNNNNNNNNNNNNNNNNNNNNNNNNNNNNNNNNNNNNNNNNNNNNNNNNNNNNNNNNNNNNNNNNNNNNNNNNNNNNNNNNNNNNNNNNNNNNNNNNNAAGCCCCGAUCCACAUAAUAAUCCUCACAAUCAGGCCCUCGGCGUCACUCAGUCAUCAAUCUCUCCAGUCUUUCUCUCAUGGGCUCACAAUGUCAUGAAAAUAGCCCAAAAAUGAUAAUAUGAUGUAUCAAUAAAUAAUAACAGAGACUGAGAUAUGAUAUGUAAUGACAUGAAUAUGAUCGAGUAUGAAUUUUCAAUUUAAAAUAAAUAAUUCACAGCAAUAUGACCUAUGUGGGUCCCAAUAAUACUGGAACAUAGCCUCAACAUGAUUUUUAAUAUGCUUUCAGCUCAAUUUCUUUAACACAUAAAACUGCAUGGAAAAUGCCAAGAUUAUUUAACUACAAAAUUCCACAGAAAUAAUUAUGUCACAAUUUCUAUAGUGCACGCCCACACGCCCAUCACGUGGCAUAUGUGUCACCUCCCAACAAUUCACAAAAUACAUAUAUUCAGGGUUCAUACCCUCAGCUCCAAGAUUAGAAGAGUUACUUACGUCGAACAAGCCAAAUCCAAUGUCGAGCAAGCUAAGCAAUGCUCCAAAAAUUUCAUUAUGCGUGUAUCAACUUCCAAACUGCUCUAGUCACAAUUAAUUUGAUUCAACCCACAAAAAUUAUAGGAAUUAAUUUCAUAUCAAAAUACUAAUAAUUUCCAAAAAAUCCAAAAUUACGCCCCAAAAAUACCCGUGGGGCCCAUGUCUCGGAAUCUGACGAAACUCACAAAAUACGACAACCCAUCAAAUUACAAAUUCAACCAUACUAGUUUCACUCAAAUCCGACUUCGAAAAGGUAUUAAAAACUCGAAAAAUUCGUUUUGUGACAUUAUAAAAAUUUCCUUCGAUUUCUCUUCAUGAUUCGAUAAUCUUAUACCAAAAAUGAAGAGUAAUUCAUGAAAUAUAAACACAAGGGAGUCAAGAACACUUACCCCAAGAUGUGUGGAAACAUUCCUCUCCAAAAUUGCCCAAAUCGAGCUCCAAAAUUCGAAAAAUGGGUGAAAAAUCACGAACCCUCGAACUUAAGGGGUUCUGUCCAGUUAAUCCGCAUCUGCGGACAAUAUUUGUGCACCUGCGCCUCCGCUUGUGCGAGCAAAACGUCGCAUUUGCGGACUUCACUCGCCUUCCCAGUUUGUGCAUCUGCGAGGACACCAUCGCAUUUGCGAGGCCUCAUCUGCGGGAAAGACAUCGCAGAUGCGAAAAUCCUCAGCUUCCAGCCAUCUCGCUCCUACGCCUAAGUCGUCGCACCUGUGAGUCCAUUUCCGCAGGUGCGAAAACAUCAGAACCAGCAUACCUCCAGAAAUUCUUCAACUUCGAACCUUGGUCCGUUAACCACCUGAACUCAACCCGAGGUCCCCGAGACCUCAACCAAAAUACCAACAAGUGUUAUAUCCCAAUACAAACUUAGUUUACCUCUCAAAUCACCUCAAACAACUUCAAAAAUACGAACUACACACGGAUUCAAGCCUAAUGAAUUUUGAAAUUUCCAAAUUCUACAAACGCCGCCGAAACCGAUCAAAUCACGCCCGAUUGACCUCAAAUUUUGUACACAAGUCACAUUUCAUAUUACGGACCUAUUCCAAUUUCUAGAAUCGGAUUCCGACCCUGAUAUCAAAAAGUCAACCCCUCGGUCAAACUUCCCAAAAAUUCAACUUUCGCCAUUUCAAGCUUAAUUCCACUACGGACCUCCAAAUACUUUUUCGGACAUGCUCCUAAGUCCAAAAUCACUAUACAGAGAUAUUGGAAUCAUCAUAAUUGAAUUCCGAGGUCAUUUACACAUAAGUGAAUAUCCGGUGAACUUUUUCAACUUAAGUUUUCAAUAAUGAGACUAAGUGUCUCAUUGCACUCCGAAAUCCUUUCGGACCCGAACCAACUAACCUGAUAAGUCAUAAAUCAAUUGUAAAGCAUAAAUUGAGUAGUCAAUGGGGGAAGAAUUUGAGACAGCACUAUUGGUGGAGGCGGAUGAAGAAGGAUAUAGUUGGGUUUGUGGAUCGGUGUCUCAACUGUCAGCAGGUUAAGUAUGAACAUUAGAGAUCGGGUGGCUUGCUUCAGAGGUUAAAGAUCCGAGAGUGCAACUGGGAGCGGAUCACCAUGAUCUUCAUAGUUGGGCUCCCACGGACUUCGAGGAAGUUCGAUGCUAUUAGGGUUAUUGUGGAUUGACUGACCAAGCACGCGUACUUCAUUCCAGUUGGAACUACUUACACUUUAGAGCGGUUGGCUGAGAUUUAUAUCCGAGAGGUUUUUCGCCUGCAUGGUAUUCCAGUUUCUAUCAUUUUAGAUAGUGGCACUCAGUUUACAUCGCAGUUUUGGAGGGCCGUGCAGCGAGAGUUGGGUACUCAGGUUGAGUUGAGCACAUCUUUUCACCCUCAAACGGACGGGCAGUCCGAGCGCACUAUUUAGAUAUUGGAGGACAUGUUGUGCGCUUGUUUCAUUGACUUUGGGGGUUCAUGGGAUCAGUUCUUGCCGCUCGCGGAGUUUGCAUAUAACAACAGUUACCAGUCGACUAUUCAGAUGGCUCCGUACGAGGCUUUAUAUGGGAGAAGGUGUAGAUCUCCGAUAGGAUGGUUUGAGUCGGGUGAGGCUAGGCUCUUGGGUACAGACUUGGUCCAAGAUGCAUUAGAUAAGGCAAAAUAGAUUCAGGAGCGGCUUCGCAUGGCCCAGUCUAGGCAGAAGAGCUACGCGGACAGGAAGCUCUGUGAUGUGUCGUUUAUGGUUGGGGAGAAGGUUUUGCUGAAGGUAUCACCCAUGAAAGGUUUUAUGAGGUUUGGGAAGAGGGGCAAGUUGAGGCCCCGGUUCAUUGGGCCUUUUGAGGUGCUUCAGACUAUAGAGGAGAUGGCUUAUAAGCUUGCCUUACCACCCAGCUUGUCGAGCGUGCAUCCAGUGUUUCAUGUUUCCAUGCUCCAGAAUUAUGUUGGCGAUCCGUCCCAUGUUUUGGACUUCUGAACGGUUUAGUUGGAGUGUGAUAUGACUUAUGAUGUGGAGCCGGUGGCCAUUGUGGAUCGGCAGGUUCGGAAGUUGAGGUCAAAGGACAUAUCUUCGGUGAAGGUGCAGUGGAGAGGUCAGCCUGUAGAGGAGGCCAUCUGGGAAACCGAGUGGGAUAUACGGAGCAGAUAUCCACACCUAUUUGAGACUCCAGGUAUGUUUCUAGACCCAUUCGAGGACGAAAGUUAGUUUAAGAGGGGGAGGAUGUAACGACCCGGCCGGUCGUUUCGAGAGUUAUAGCCCCAUUUCCCCCAUUUCUACUUCCUUUUAUGCUUUUCAGCUAUAUUAUGAUAUACCAUAUUAGUCGGUUUGGUUCCGGAGAGGUUUCGGAGUUGAUUGAGACACUUAGUUUCAAAUGUAGAAGCUUAAGUUGGAAAAGUCAAAAGGACUGAGUAAGGCUGAAGGCCUGGUUGUGAGAUAUUAUUCUAUGGUACGUGAGUUGUCCGUGUGGAUCCUUAUAUUUAUACUAGGGCAUAUGAGUUAUCCGUACAGCACGUGAGUUGUCCGUGCGGAUCCAGAUAUUUAUACUAUGGCACAUGAGAUGUUCGUGUAACACGUGAGUUGUCCAUGCAGAUUAUAGCGGUUGGGCUGUUGGAGCCCCUCAUGUGGCUGAACACCCCCAGUGAGCGCAGGUACCUAUUGAGCGUGUGCAUUGAGGGCUGAGAGUUGAGUGUCGAGUUAUUUAGGGUUUGAGUGACAGUGUCUGUGAGGUUUCAUCUAUUUCACUUUGUUGCUGCAUUUAGCUUAAAAUUGUCUCGCUAGAAUUGCCAAUUAUGCAACUGAUCUUUUACUCAUAUUUACUCUUCACUUUAAAAAUUAUCAACUGAAUUGUUCUGUAUAGCUUGUCACUACUUCUCAGUUCCUUAUUUAUUUUUGUUACUUGUUGAGUUGAUUGUACUCAUGCUAUACCCUGCACUUCAUGUGCAUAUCCAUGUGUGUUUGAUAACGGAGGUCAUUGAGUUUGAGCGCGAUCGAGUUUCGAAGUCUACGAGGUAGUUGCCGGCGUCGCAGNNNNNNNNNNNNNNNNNNNNNNNNNGAUUCUAUAUUGAGUUCAACUUUGGUUUUUAUGAAAUAUUUCUGAUAUGAAAAAAUUUUAAACUACCUUUUCUAUUGAAUUAGUAGAGUAUUUUGGGAACGCCGGCUUGCCUAUUACUAUCGAUAGGUGCCAUCACGACAUGUUAGAUUUUGGGUUGUGACAAGUUGGUGUCAGAGCUUCUUAAGGACUAUGAUAUCACUAUUUUGUACCAUCUGGGGAAGGCCAAUGUGGUGGCUGAUGCUUUGAGUCGUCGGGCGGAGAGUUUGGGGAGUUUAGCUAUCUCCCAGAAGUAGAGAGACCCAUGGCAUUAGAUGUCCAGGCCUUAGCGGGCCAGCUUGUCAGAUUGAAUAUUUCGGAGCCGAGGCGGGUAUUGGCAUGUGUGGUCUCCAGGCCUUCUCUUUAUGACCGUGUCAGGGAGCAUAUGUAUGAUGACCCGCACUUGCUCGUUCUUCAGGACAGGGUUCAGUGAGGUGAUGCCAGAGAUGUGACUAUUGGUGAUGAUGGCGUGUUGAGGAUGCAAGACCGGAUAUAUGUGCCCAAUGUAGAUGGGCACCGUGAGUUGAUUCUUGAGGAGGCCCACAGCUCGCGGUAUUCCAUCCAUCCGGGUGCCGUGAAGAUGUACCAGGAAUUGAGAUAGCACUAUUGGUGGAGGCGGAUGAAGAAGGAUUUAGUUAGGUUUGUGGCUCGAUGUCUCAACUGUCAGCAGGUUAAGUAUGAACAUCAGAGACCGGGUGGCUUGCUUCAGAGGUUAAAGAUCCGAGAGUGGAACUGGGAGCGGAUCACCAUGAUCUUCGUAGUUGGGCUCCCACGGACUUCGAGGAAGUUCGAUGCUAUUAGGGUUAUUGUGGAUUGACUGACCAAGCCCGCGCACUUCAUUCCAGUUGGAACUACUUACACUUUAGAGCGGUUGGCUGAGAUUUAUAUCCGAGAGGUUUUUCGCCUGCAUGGUAUUCCAGUUUCCUCAUUUCAGAUAGAGGUACUCAGUUUUCAUCGUAGUUUUGGAGGGCCGUGCAGCGAGAGUUGGGUACUCAGGUUGAGUUGAGCAGAGCUUUUCACCCUCAGACAGAUGGGCAGUCCGAGUGCACUAUUCAGAUAUUGGAGGACAUGUUGUGCGCUUGUGUCAUUGACUUUGGGGGUUCAUGGGACCAGUUCUUGCUGCUUGCGGAGUUUGCAUAUAAAAACAGUUAUCAGUCGAGUAUUCAGAUAGCUCCGUACGAGACUUUGUAUGGGAGGAGUUGUAGAUCUCCGGUAGGAUGGUUUGAGCCGGGUGAGGAUAGGCUCUUGGGUACAGACUUGGUCUAGUAUGCAUUAGAUAAGGCGAAAUUGAUUCAGGAGCGGAUUCACACGGCACAGUCUAGGCAGAGGAGCUACGCGGACAGGAAGGUCUGUGAUGUGUCGUUUAUGGUUGGGGAGAAGGUUUUUCUAAAGGUAUCACCCAUUAAGGGUGUUAUGAGGUUUGGGAAGAGGGGCAAGUUGAUCCCCCGGUUUAUUGGGCCUUUUGAGGUGCUUCAGAGGAUAGGGGAGGUGGCUUAUAAGCUUGCCUUGCCACCCAGCUUGUCGAGCGUGCAUCCAGUGUUUCAUGUUUCUAUGCUCCGAAUUUAUGUUGGCGGUCCGUCCCAUGCUUAUGACUUUAGCACGGUUCAGUUGGAGGGUGAUAUGACUUAUGAUGUGGAGCGGGUGGCCAUUUUGGAUCGGCAGGUUCGGAUGUUGAGUUCAAAGGACAUAACUUCGGUGAAGGUGCAAUGGAGAUGUCAUCAUGUAGAGGAGGUCACCUGGGAGACCGAGCGGGAGAUGCGGAGUAGAUAUCCACACCUAUUUGAGUCUCCAGGUAUAUUUCUAGACCCAUUCGAGGAUGAACUUUUAUUUAAGAGGGGGAGGAUGUAACGACCCGGCCGGUCAUUUCGAGAGUUAUAGCCCCGUUUCUCCCAUUCCUGCUUCCUUUUGUGCUUUUCAGCUAUAUUAUGAUAUACCGGGUUAGUUGGUUCGGGUCCAGAGUGGUUUCGGAGUGGAUUGAGACACUUAGUCUCUAAAGUAGAAGCUUAAGUUGGAAAAGCCAACCGAAUGUUGAAUUAUAUGUAAACGAUCUCGGAUUUUAAUUUUUAUGGUUCUGUUAGCUCCGUUAUGUGAAUUUGAAAUUAGGAGUACGCCCGGAAUGUGAUUUGGAGGUCCGUAGUGGAAUUAGGCUUGAAUUAGCGAAAGUUGGAAAUUUGGUGCUUUCGGUCGGCAGUGAAAAAUUUGAUAUCGGGGUCAUAAUGGAUUUACGGAACUUGGAAUAGGUUUGUGGUGUCAUUUUUGAUGUGUGUGUAAUAUUUGAGGUCAUUCGGACGUGGUUUGGUAUCAUUUGCAGAAUUUGGGAAGUUAGAAGUUCUUAGGCUUGAAUCCGAGGGUAAUUUGUCGUUUUGAUGCUGUUUUAAGUGAUUUGAUGAUUUGUCUAAGUUUUUAUGUUGAUAUAUGACUUGUUGGUAUGUUUGGUUGAGGUCCCGAGGGGCUCGGGGUGAGUCCGGGUGGUUAACGGAUUGUUUAAAGUUGGAAAAAUGCAGCUGAAGCUGCUGCUACUGGUAUUUCCGCACAUGCGGAGGGGGGAGCGUAGGUGCGAGGUCGCUGGUGCACUUGGUGAACCACAGAUGCGGACAUGGAGGACCUGGUCUUGAAUCGCAGGUGCGAGGUCUUUUCCGCACCUGCGAGGUUGCAGAAGCGGAUAGGGAGCGCAGGUGCGGAGAUGCGCACUUAAGUGAUUGUCUGCAGAUGCGGAAAUUUAUGCGCAAAGGCGGCUCUGCAGGUGCGCAUUUUUGAGCCGCAGGUGCGAAAACCUGGGCAGAACCUAUAGAUAGGGAACUUUAGGAUUUUUUGUCAUUUCCAUCCUUUUCAAUUCAGACUUUGGAGCUUUUGGGGUGAGUUUUGAAGGUGAUUCAAGGAUAUUCACUGAGGCAAGUUGCUUAAGCUCUAUUAUCAUUAGAGAGUAAUUUGGGGAUUUGAGGAACCAAAUGAGGUCGAAUUUUGAUGAAUUUAGUAUGGGUAGACUCAUGAGUGAAUAGGCUUUCGGGCUUUGCGACUUUUGUCAGAUUUUGAGAUGUGGGACCGGGGGCCGGGUUUGAGUGAAUUUUGGGAUUUCGCCUAUAAGUUGGUAUUUUCCUUGUGGGAUUCAUUUCUUUAGCUCAUAUUGAUCGUAUUUUAUUGCUUGUGGCCAGAUUCGGGUCAUUUGGAGGCCAGUUUGAGAGGAAAGGGCAUUUCGGAGUAGGAGUUCUACGCUGUUGAGGUAAGUAACAGUUUUAAAUUUGGUCUUGAGGGUAUGAAACCCGGAGUUGGUAUAAUGUGACUGUUUGGAGGUGGCACCCAUGCUAGGUGAUGGGCGUGUGGAUGUACGCCGUGAGGGAUUGAGACUUGGUUCAUCCCGGGAGACUGUGAAGUCUAAUAGCCUUUAUUUGUGUUUAUAUGCAUUCCUAUCUACUAGAACUUGACUGUCUUUCAUGUUAGAGAUCAUGCUUAGGCUAUAUUCCUCCUCAUGGUAGUUAUAUUCAUUCAUAGUGAUUCUUGUACAUGUUUAUCUCAGUCUCUGUUAUUUUUCCCUGAUGAUAUACUGUAACACUUUGAUUUGGGUUAUUUUUCCUUUCUUUAUUGAGACCUAUGAGACUAGAGAGGUUCAUGACUGAGUAAGGCCGAAGGCCUGGUUGUGAGGUAUUAUUCUAUGGUACGUGAGUUGUCCGUGCGGAUCCUUAUAUUUAUACUAGGGCACAUGAGUUGUCCGUGCAGCACGUGGGUUGUCCAUGCGGAUCCAGAUAUUUAUACUAUGGCACGUGAGUUUUCCGUGCAGAUUAUAGCGCUUGGGCUGUAGGAGCCACUCGUGAGUCUGAACACCCCCAGUGAGCGCAGGUAUCUAUUGAGCGUGUGCAUUGCGGGCUAAGAGUUGAGUGUCGAGUUAUUGAGGGUUUGAGUGAGAGUGUUUGUGAGGUUUUAUCUAUUUCACUUUGUUGAUGUAUUUAGCUGAUAAUUGUCUGGCUGGAAUUGGUAAUUAUGCAACUGAUCUUUAAUUCAUGUUUACUUUUAACUGUGAAAAUUAUCAACUGAAUUGUUAUGUAUAGCUCGUCACUACUUCUCAAUUACUUAUUUAUUUUUGUUACUUACUGAGUUGGUUGUACUCAUGCUAUACCCUGCACUUCAUAUGCAGAUCCAGGUAUGUUUGAUCAUGUAGGUCGUUAAGUUCGGGAGCGAUCGAGUACCAGAGACUAUGAGGUAGCUGCCGGCGUACGCAGUACCUUGUCACUCCUUCUAUAUUUCUUUAUGUCUUGUAUUGAUACUUAGACACUAGUUGUAUUAGUUUGAUUAUCUAGAUUCUCAUGACUUAGUGACACCUCGAUGUUUAGGGCUAGUUUCCGCAUUUUGAUUCUAUAUUGAGUUCAACUUUGGUUUUUAUGAAAAAUUUCUGAUAUGAAAAAGUUCUAAACUACCUUUUCUAUUGAAACUGGAGUAUUUUGGGAACGUCGGCUUGCCUAGUAUCACCGAUAGGCACCCUCACGACAUGGUAAGUUUUGGGUCGUGACAUAUACCUUGCUUGAGCUUUCCUUAGAUUACUAAAAUAUUCCAGAUAUCCUAGAAACUUCAAUCUAUUUAGAAACAUAACAAAAUUGAACACAAAUUAGGAAAAUAUUCAUGGUUUCAGCUCAUUUGUGCAUUUUAUCAAACACUAUGUGUGCAAAUAUGACUACAAGGCUCUUCUACAAGAUUUCCUUCAUUCCACAAGAUUUAUUUCACUUCGCAUCCCAAUCUUUACCCUUUUGGGCUCAACAAUCAUCCCACAAACCUUAUUGGUACCUACAUGUAUACAUAAUACUCUAACACCCAAGAAUCAUACUCCCAAUCACCCAUCUUUUACCCCAAACUCGAAAUUGAAGACUAGGGUUAGAUCCUUAUCUCUUGAGUGUAGAUCUUGUGAGAUUUUCUUGUUGGAUUUCAAAGCUUGGACAAGAUCUUGAUGAGCCAAGCACUUGAUCUUCUUCCUUUCUCUAGAACACCCUCACUUCUCUCUAAAAAUGUCAGAUUUUUUCCUUCAAAAUGAGCCCAAAAGGCUACUUAUCAAAAUGGGGUCGGGUUAUAAAAAUAGGAAAAUGGACCCUCCGAACUCAGGUCUGCAGUCGCAGAAUAGACCGCAUAAUGGGUAUGCGGUCCGCAUAGUGGACCGCAAAACUGAUGCGUAGAACUGGGCUACACUGGUCAGGUCUUCGACCAUUCUGUGGUCUGCAGACAACUUGUACGGUUGCAGAAUGAUUCUGCGGUCGCAGAAUUGGCCGCAGAAUCACAUUUUGCCAGCCUUUGAUAAUUUGGUCAUAACAUCUUGUAGGAGUGUCCAAAUGACGAACGGUUUGAUGAGUUGGAAACUACACUCAAAGGGCUUUAAUUGUCUAGGUAUAUCACAACAUAGGUAGUUAUAUUUUGGUAUCAGCAUUCGUUUUAAAUAGGAUCUUGUGCGAAUUGAGACAUCAUUUCCACUUAAUGUAUCCAAUCUAUUCCACUCAAAUUCUUGCCAUUCACAAAACUUCUUAGUAUGUUCCAACACACCUUAAACAUAUAUUUUCAUUUCAAAAUAAUGUGGUUCUAUCCCAUGGGUCUCCUUAAAUACUCUAACACAUUAUUCCCAAAUACCGUUGGCACACAUUAAAAUCUUAAAUUAUUAGAAAAUUUUAACGGGGGCUUACAUUUUCCCCCGCUUAGGGUUAUUCAUCCUCGAAUGAGGGUUAAAGUCUGCCAUAGACAUCUAAUGUGACUUAAAUCUUUAUAUUCACACCAAAAGCUCCAAAAUUUGGCUAACUCCCCAAAUUUACAGAAAUUUCGCCAGAGUCUCCCAUGUAAUUGGGGCAUAUCCACCUGCCAGAGAAUCUUAGAAAUCAAUCCUAAACAACAUAUAGAUAACACCAUAUUGCACCAUAUACAUGAAAUCAACAACCAUGACUCUCGAAGCCAACUGUAUGACCUUGCUUACCUUGGUCGUAUCCUUGACUUUUCCUUCCUCCAUGAUGAGGACAAUUGGGAACCUCACGGAUUAAGCCUAUUAUGUGCAUCAUUCCUUAAAUCCUUAGGCCUUUCUCAUUUCGUAGCACGGUGUGCAAACAAUCCUUGAUAUUAACAAGGGAACUCCGAGACUAACUCAGAACCUUAACGCACGAUCGAGGAUAGAAAAAGAGAAACAUUUCCUAAAUGUCGUUGUAGCCUCUCUAUUAUAAGUGUGGCUGGAAACACAGCAAUAAGAAGGACUCUACUGACACAGAUCCAUGACACCUUAGGGCUCUUAAACCGUGCUCUGAUACAAAGUUUGUCACGCCCCGAACUCGGGGAGCGCGACCGGCACUCAACCGAGUGGAACCAGUCGAGCAAGCCUACGUUACAUCAACCUCUCAUCAUAACUCAUGCAUGAUUUAUCAAAACAUAAUUAGAUAUUGACUUUAAUAUUGAAUAUAUUUGGCUCAAUGGCCCAUAAUUGUUUUGUUUCUAUCAUGAUGGGUACCACAAAACCCAUAUGCUACUCUGUCACUCUCCCACUUUGGUCAAACCCUCUCUUUAAGCAACUACUCGACAUCUGUUUCUCACACUUGGCCUUCUAGAAUUUUAACCACCACAAGACACCUUCCACAUGUCCUUCCUCAUCCUCCGCUUCCCAGUUGUUGCCUUAACUCAAAAUUCAUUUCUGUAGCACCCGAACCAACAGAUCAUCGCUAACUCUAGACCUCCACGAAGAUCAUCUUCCUUGAGCCAUCAACAUUAGGAUUACCUAUUCGAUUCUGAACCACAGCAUACUGCGAUAUCUGGCAAUCGCUUCCCCCGACAUCAUUUCACAAUACCCUGCCCCAAAGGCAAUUUGAAGAAGGCCAUAACACCGGCAAACUUAACACAUUCAAUCAAGGACGACACCACAUCUCGGAUGAAAAUUUCCAACACACAUGAAAAUACCAAGUCUCGUUACUCCAUCAAUCCAACCUGAACAUUCUUAGUCUGGUUGCCUUUCCCUCCGGUGGAAAUAAAACAUUGAACCUUUGAAUCACGCAUUGAGAAGAACCUCAUUUCAAUUCAUUCACCGCCCCUACACGUAGACAAAUAUCCUACUAUUACCUGAAUAAUGUGCGAUAACAACUCAUGAACAUUAUAGAAAUUGGUGCAUAGCCCCAAAACCAUCAGAAAUACAGCUGCUGAGCUGAGAUGACAGAACAUCCUUUCAUAAAGCGACGACAUUAGCCCAAUCGAAUAUGCAGGGAGAAACAUCAUGCUCUACAUCAGUAGUGCCAUUACAAUUCCUCGAUUCCAAAUUUAUAACAAGCGCUUCGCGUCGCAUAAGAUUGAAUAGGAAGGAAAUGAAGGUGUAAUCCUCAAAGGAAUCAAAUCGCACGACCAGGAAUCAAGAAGGGAAGUGCUCCUAUCAGCCCGGUAGCCUCUCGAAGAUACGUGCAGACGUCUUUGUACCGAUUCGCAAGACUCUACUAGACUCGCUCAUGAAUCGUGAGACCUAAGUGAACCUAGUGCUCUGAUACCAUGUUGUCACAACCCAAAAUCUAUUAAAGGUCGUAAUGGCGCCGGACACCGCUGUCAGGCAAGCCAACAAUAAAUACUCAAUUUGGUUCUCUUUUUUAAUAUUUUGAAAUCACAUUUUUCCUUCAAUAAAAAAGCAAAAGAUGGAAUUUACAAAGUAAAUAAUACUACCUCUGUUCCAGUUUAUGUGAACCUAUUUUCUUUUUGGUCUGUGCCAAAAAGAAUGACCCCUUUCUAAAUUUGGAAAUAAUUUUGCUUAAACAUAUAAUUUUACCCUUAAUGAGAAGCUUUUAUAACCACACAAAUACUCUGGGCCCAUUUUUGAAUUGUUUAGGACCACAAAUUCCAAAAGUUUUCAUUUUUUCUUAAACUCCGUGCCAGUCAAAUAGGUUCACAUAAAUUGGAACGCAGUGAGUAAUAUUUGUAACAAUUUCAAUACAAGACAACCCAUAAUCACCCCAAAACCUGGUGUCACAAGUGCAUCAGUAUCAGCUAGGAAGUAAAAAUAAAAUACACCAUCUGUCCGAUAUACAAAUUUAGACAGGAGAAAUAUAAAUACUCUGAAGGAGACUCUGCUGUAAGCUCAAUAUCGUGAAAUAAGUAAACAAUUCUUUUGUUAAUAAGGCAUUUUCCAAAUUUAUUUUCAUCGUUUAACAAUUUAUUAUCUCAGGCCAAUGAGGCAGUAUCAAUUAUUAUAAUUUCCAAAGCAAUUAAUACAAUCAUGCGCAAGUCAUGCCGAAGUCAUACGGCCCGAUCCAACAUAUAAAUAUAAAUUGUGCACUGCCGAGGGUCGAACGGCACGAACCAUAGAUGCAUCUAUUUAACCUUCCGAGGCGAACGACCCGCUCCCAUGAGAGUAGUGAAAAUUUACCCCGCUCGCGGAAUAUAAUAGCGACACAGUUACACAUAGAUUUCUUAAGUUACUAUAAUAUUCCUCAAUUUCUUUUCGAAAACACGAAGUCCAAAUGAAAACUUCUUUUAAAAAACUUAAUUUCCUCAAUUUCAAUUCUUCUUAAGGCAAACAAUAACCACAAAUCAAAUAACAAUAUCAGCAAGGCAUGAAGUAAACCUAAAACUAUCCGGACAUAGGCAUAGCUAGUAGCUACGUAUGGACUCUCAUCAACUCGUGCGUACGUAGCCCCCGCAAGUAGAAGCACAUAUUUAAUCAAUUCACCUAUGGGGUUAAUUCCCUCUUACAAGGUUAGAAAGGAGACUUACCUCACUCCGCAAUUCUAUAAUCGGCUCCAAUGCCUCUCCAACUACUCAAACUGGUACCCGUCGCUCCAAAACUAGUCAAUAAAUGUGCAAAUUCAUAAAUAUAUACUCUAACACUCAUUAUAAUUCAAUUUACAACAAUUCCGAACUCCUCUAGAUUUUUCUUUAAAAUCUCAAAUCUCAACAAAUUUUUAAGUCUAAAUGCUUAUACAAUCCAGGUAUUUAACUUGCAAUAGGUGGGAAUCACUUACCUUGAUAUAGAUGACGAAAAUCUCCCAUCCAAGAGCUCCAAAAAUCGUCCAACCAAAUGAAAUAUGGGUGAAAUGAACCCAAACCCCGCUUUAAAAGCAUUCUGCCUAGCCAGACUUUCGCACAUGCGGCCUCUUCGUCGCAUUUGCCGUCUCGCAAGUGCGGCCCUUUUCCCAGCACAGCUCCGUAUCUGCGCCCCAUGCAACGCACCUGCGCUUCCGCUUCUGUGAUCCUCAUGUGCAUAUGCGCCUUCGCAGGUGCGGACAUUCCCUCGCACCUGCGCUCCUAGCCUUUUCUCUCAAUCUCGCACCUGCGACGCACCUCUGCAUCUGCGACCUAGCAGGUGUGGACAACCCUGCACACCUGCGGUCACUGCCAAUCUUCGACCAAACCGCACCUGCGAGCUCGCACCUACGGCCCUUUUCACGUAGGUGCGAUCACGCCACAUAUCAGCUGCCUAAUCUUUUUGUUCCAAGUCCAAACUCGAUCUGUUAACCAACCGGAAUCCACCUGUGGCCCUCAGGACCUCAACCAAUUAUACCAACACGUCCCAAAACACAUUACGAACUUAGUCGAGCCUUUAAAUCACAUCCAACAACAUCAAAACUAUAAAUCACCCUCCAAUUCAAACUCAAUGAACUUUAGAACUUCAAACUCCUACAAUCAAUGCCGAAACCUAUCAAAUCACGUCCGAUUAACCUCAAAUUUUACACACAAUUCAUAAUUAGCAUUACGGACCUAUUCCAACUUCCGGAAUCAGAAUCAGACCCCGAUAUCAAAAGUCCACUCCCGGUCAAACUUCUCAAAAAUCAUCAAAAUUCCAACUUUCGCUAAAUGGCCUCAAAAUGACCUACGGACCUCCAAAUCCACAUCCAGACGCGCUCCCAAUACUAGAAUUACCAUACGAAGCUAUUCCCAGGCUCAGAAUCCCAAACGGACAUUGCUAACAUUGAAAUGCACUUCAACUCAAAUUUAUGAAAAAAUUUCAAAAGGCCAACUUCCAUAACAGGCGCUGAAACGAUACUGAGUUAUCCAAAACACGAUCCCGACAUACGCCUAAGUCCAAAAUCAUCAUACGCACAUGUUGGAACCUUCAAAUCCCGAUUCCGAGGUCGUUUACUCAAAAUUCACACUUUAGUCAAUUCCUUCAACUUAAGACUUUCGAUAUUAGAAUUUUCUUUCCAAAUCAACUCUGAACUUCCCGAAAUUAAAUUCCGACCACGCAUACAAGUCAUAAUACCUGAAGUGAAGCUGCUCAGGGCCUCAAACCGCUGAACGAUGCGCUAGAGCUCAAAACGACCGGUCGAGUCGUUACAUUCUCUCCCACUUAAACAUACGUUCGUCCUCGAACGUGCCAAGAACUGCUCUGGAGUUGUCUGAAAUCAUUGUUUAACACCUCGUGCACCUACCCGUGCUACCACAACCCAGCUGAGCACAUUAGAUCGAGCAAUUCUGAAGAUCUUCCCCUUUAUUCAGGCAAAUAAGCCUUAGAGACAAAUUCCAAUAUCUGAAAUUCUCUACCAGGUCUGUUUCCAACACACGAACACCGUAUCCAUCACCACAUGAUGUACCAACACAUAAUUGUAUUCCCUUACUGAAUUCUUACCAUGCACCACGUAAAUCCUUUGCCCAAGUCAAUCUACCCAAAGCACAACAGCUAAAAUUUCCACUAACUCGUAGCCCGUAGUGUACUUUAUGACCGAUUAAGUCUUGCUCUAACUCUCGCAAUACUGCCACGAUAGAGAAGAUAUGUAUAAAUUCAUACCAACUACCGAGUCACAAUUUAUGGAGUCUCUCCUCCCGACAAGAACCAUUACCUAAUUCUGGACUGAUUAACAAUAUUUACUCUUUAAUAUGCUUCAUAUAAAUCUGAUCGCACUGAUCCCAGGUCCAAUAAUCUUGUCUCACCCAGUACAAGUUGCUCCGGCAAUAAAUCACCCUAGAAGCUGCCAAAAGUUUCAUACGCUGCUACAAUGUGCCAACGAGCUACCAACUCGAAUGCGAUACAUAAGGAAAACGAACUCUGAAAAAGAACUACUCAACCCACGUAGCUAAUUUAAACAACCGAAAAGAAGUUAUGAACCCUCCUUACAAAAUGAGAAACAAAACACAUACGGAUAGAUAUGGGGAACUAUACUCAACAUCACAUUGUUGCGGCGUGCAACCCGAUACACACAUGAUACCGUUACGGCAUGCAACUCGAUCCAACCAUGAUACCCGUGGCGGCAUACCACCCGAUCCAACUAUAUACCCGUGGUGGCGUGCACCCGAUCCACACAUAAUAAUCUAAAGAAAACACACAUCGAUCAAUAACGCUUAUACUCACGAAAUGCCCGAAUAUCUACCAUAAGCACGCCAAGUGCAUAAUACAAAUCUUGGGGAGACGGGUAGCAUCAUACGCUAUAAAACCCAAGCACAACUAAGGUGCGAUAUUUGAUCAGCAUCACGGGAGCCAUCCUACUCACAUAAUACCACAAACUAUAUGGGAUCUCAAUACGAGUGCGAAUAAUCAAACCGCCUCAUAACCCACAUUGCACAAUAGAGACUGCACGGAAGGGCCGACAACAAAAAUAACAUCUAAGGCCCGCAGACCCCUCCAAAAACAAUGCUAUGCUGAAAUGAACACAUUCGGACUGAUAUAGAGCCCACAUUCACAUUUAGAUCCAUCCAAGGACCUCCAACCAAUUUUGAUCAUACCAUGCUUGUAUAAAUAGCCUCUCAAGGACCCACAAUGGCCUAUUCACGACACAUAAGAACAGUCGCCAAUUUGGAACAAACUCACAUUAUCCAUAGCCCAAGGAAAUAGAAAACCUCUGAGGCAUAAACUCUCUCAUACCAUGACCUCCAUAUCCGGUCUCAAUCUUUAACAAUCAAGUGACUGACAUGUCACUCUUAUACAAAUAUCCUCGUGGGGCAUGCUCAUGCGACCAUUCCGCUCCGGUAGCAAGGUCCGCAUAUCCAUACCACCAACCAUUUUAGUUCUGUAGAGUGAGUCAAAAAAAUCUGCAAGUCAAUACAUAAAGCCUCUUCCACAUGACACCGAUCUCAGGUGACGCUAAAGACAAUACCAGCUUACUCUAAACAUCUGAAUUCUUCCCUGCUCAUCCGAGCUCUUGACAUUCCUGUCAACACUGAACCGUAACCUUGAUCCUCAUCCUCAUAUUUCCCAUACUGCUCGCUGCACCUAAUAUGCCAAUACGUGAGAGUACCAGAACUCUACAAUAACCCCUGAUCCACUAAUAGAAUAAGCACUUCAUCGUAUAGAAACCUUCUACUUAGCUCAUUCCAUAAGAACCAAUGCAACACGCAACUAAAUUCUCAAACCGCAGAAAAAUACAAACCUCGAGUAGUGGCCUAACCACCAUAAUCAUUUUGGGAUCCAUCCACACAUAACAGGCCAUAAUACUCGAAUGCCUCCAAAUAAAAUCAACUUCGGCGGCCGCCAAGCCCUGCACGUGCAUCCACAAAUCACGUGUAUAACUUACCACACUGAAGGGACUGAUCAUUGCCACCAUCAUGCCAGUCCAACCACUGCUAACCGAAUCAACUUCUUCUAAUUUCACCUGGACUUACCUUAGGAAUAAUAAUGGUUCCAUUCAAAACAUAACAAAUCCAAAUCCGCACUCAUCCCGAGUAACCUUAUUUCACGAGACCACGUUGUCUCAAAACUCAUGAACGAUCUCAUACCCUCCUUGUGCGCAUGUUCCUCAGUAGCUCAGUGGUAGAGCGGAUAUUCGCACCUUCAACUAGUACACACAUUCUGAUAAUUCCUCUAUGAAUCCGAAGUUACUUUCCCCCAUUCCUCCAAUACUACACUGCAAAGCGAAGAUAACGUAUCACACUCAUGGCCCCUUUCAUAAUCCAUUGCAAAGGCUCGAUACUUAGCCCUACUACGAACUCAAAAUUCUGAGGCACCGCACUUUACUUUUGAAUCCACUAGGACCAUCGUUGAGGGUCACCCACCCUGGCUUGAUCCCCAAUAUAACCAACUCUAAGGCUCUGCUAGCACGUGUAUACCCUAUCAAGAAGCAGUCAACUAAAUUCAUUUCCUUGUACAUCACAUCCCCACGAAGCAUAAUUAUUAUUUUUUUACCCGAACACGAAUCGACAUGGCCAAACAUAGCACACAUUCCCCAAAUACCUUGCUCGAAUUACCACUGAUGUUUUUCUUCCUAAGUCAGAAUAACCCACCAAUACACCGAUAACUAGAAACCGCACUAGUUGACAACUACGCAAUCCAAUCAUAGACGAUGGGGCUCUCCCACUUAGCUUAAAGCUACCAUUGCAUAACUCUGGAACCCACCAAGAUUCCUUAUCCCCUAUUGACAUGAUCUUGCACAAUCAACCCGCCAAAUUCACUCGGAAUCCUUAUGUUACACAUUUCAUGAACAUUCCGAAUCACUAGCCGCAUUCACAUAUUCGACCUCUUACUGGAUAGUCAGUAAAAUUCUUCAUAGGAGUUUCAUCAACACCACGCAACCGCUAACCUGUUCACAGGAGAUAUCCCACCUCUGGAAAUUCCAUGCCGACAUCCUCCAACAAUGUUGCACUGAGUAUAAUUACCACGAAGCCAAUAAACCAUACUGAGUCCAUGAUCAUUCACCAGUUGUACAAGUUCGUUCACUCCUCAUGGACAUCAACUAAAGGUGCGACAAUAUAUUUCAAUCCAAAGUCAUGUUGAAUCUUCCUCAAAAUAGCAGCCAAUAUUCAAAUUUAAGCCUGUAGACCUAGUCAUUGUCCACCAUGAAUCCCAAUUCACUCUAACUUUCCCCAAGGCGUGUAGCUAUCGUACCACAGAACCCAUAUGCUACUCUCCCACUUUGGUCAAACCCUCUCUUUAAGCAACUACUCGACUUCUGUUUCUCACACUUGGUCUUCUAGAAUUUUAACCACCACAAGACACCUUCCACAUGUCCUUCCCCAUCCUCCGUUUCCCAGUUGUUGCCUUAACUCAAAAUUCAUUUCUGUAGCACCCGAACCAACAGAUCAUCGCUAACUCUAGACCUCUACGAAGAUCAUCUUCCUUGAGCCAUCAACAUUAGGAUUACCUAUUCGAUUCUGAACCACAGCACACUGCGACAUCUGGCAGUCGCUUCCCCUGACAUCAUUUCACAAUACCCUGCCCCAAAGGCAAUUUGAAGAAGGCCAUAACACCGGCAAACUUAACACAUUCAAUCAAGGACGACGACACCACAUCUCGGAUGAAGAUUUCCAGCACACAUGAAAAUACCAAGUCUCGUUACUCCAUCAAUCCAACCUGAACAUUCUUAGUCUGGUUGUCUUUCCCUCCGUUGGAAAUAAAACGCUGAACCUCUGAAUCACGCAUUGAGAAGAACAUCCUUUCAAUUCAUUCACCGCCCCUACACGUAGACAAGUAUCCUACCAUUACCUUAAUACUGUGCGAUAACAACUCAUGAACAUCAUAGCAAUUGGUGCAUAGCCCUAAAACCAUCAGAAAUACAGCUACAGAGCUGAGAUGACAAAACAGCCUUCCACAAGACGACGGCAUUAGCACAAUUGAACACGCAGCGAGAAACAUCCUACUCUACAUCAGUAGUGCCAUUACAAUUCCUCGAAUCCAAAUUUAUAACAAACGCUUUGCAUCGCAUAAGAUUUAAUAGGAAGGAAAUGAAGGCGUAAGCCUUAAAGGAAUCAAAUCGCACGAUGAGGAAUCAAGAAGGGAAGUGCUCCUAUCAACCCGGUAGCCUCUCGAAGAGAAGUACAUACGUCUCUGUACCGAUCCGCAAGACUCUACUAGACUCGCUCAUGACUCGUGAGACUUAAGUAAACCUAGUGUUCUGAUACCAUGUUGUCACGACCAAAAAUCCAUUAAAGGUCAAGAUGGCGUCGAACACCGUUGUCAGGCAAGCCAACAAUAAAUACUCAAUUUGGUUCUCGUUUUUAAUAUUUUGAAAUCAUAUUUUUCCUUUAAUUAAAUAGCAAAAGAUGAAAUUUACAAAUUAAAUAAUAAUAUUUGUAUCAAUUUCAAUAAAAGACAAUCCAUAAUCAUCCCAAAACUCGGUAUCACAAGUGCAUGAGCAUCACCUAGGAAGUAAAAAUAAAAUACAGGAUUUGUCCGGAAUACAAAUUUGGACAGGAGAAAUAUAAAUACUCUGAAGGAGACUCUACUGGCUGCGGAUCGUAGUAGAAAGUGCAGCUCACCUAAGUCCCUGCAAUAACUGCGCCUCUGCGCCCACAAGGCCCUCUAGACAUAUAUAUAUAUAUANNNNNNNNNNNNNNNNNNNNNNNNNNNNNNNNNNNNNNNNNNNNNNNNNNNNNNNNNNNNNNNNNNNNNNNNNNNNNNNNNNNNNNNNNNNNNNNNNNNNNNNNNNNNNNNNNNNNNNNNNNNNNNNNNNNNNNNNNNNNNNNNNNNNNNNNNNNNNNNNNNNNNNNNNNNNNNNNNNNNNNNNNNNNNNNNNNNNNNNNNNNNNNNNNNNNNNNNNNNNNNNNNNNNNNNNNNNNNNNNNNNNNNNNNNNNNNNNNNNNNNNNNNNNNNNNNNNNNNNNNNNNNNNNNNNNNNNNNNNNNNNNNNNNNNNNNNNNNNNNNNNNNNNNNNNNNNNNNNNNNNNNNNNNNNNNNNNNNNNNNNNNNNNNNNNNNNNNNNNNNNNNNNNNNNNNNNNNNNNNNNNNNNNNNNNNNNNNNNNNNNNNNNNNNNNNNNNNNNNNNNNNNNNNNNNNNNNNNNNNNNNNNNNNNNNNNNNNNNNNNNNNNNNNNNNNNNNNNNNNNNNNNNNNNNNNNNNNNNNNNNNNNNNNNNNNNNNNNNNNNNNNNNNNNNNNNNNNNNNNNNNNNNNNNNNNNNNNNNNNNNNNNNNNNNNNNNNNNNNNNNNNNNNNNNNNNNNNNNNNNNNNNNNNNNNNNNNNNNNNNNNNNNNNNNNNNNNNNNNNNNNNNNNNNNNNNNNNNNNNNNNNNNNNNNNNNNNNNNNNNNNNNNNNNNNNNNNNNNNNNNNNNNNNNNNNNNNNNNNNNNNNNNNNNNNNNNNNNNNNNNNNNNNNNNNNNNNNNNNNNNNNNNNNNNNNNNNNNNNNNNNNNNNNNNNNNNNNNNNNNNNNNNNNNNNUAAGCAUGAAUCAUGUGGAACGGUUGUAAGCUCAAUAUCGUAAAAUAAGUAAACAAUUGUUUUGUUAAUAAGGCAUUUUCCAAAUUCAUUUUCAUUAUUUAACAAUUUAUUAUCUCAGACCAAUGAGGUAGUAUCAAUUAUUAUAAUUUUCAAAGCAAUUAAUACAAUCAUGCGCAAGUCAUGUCGAGGUCGUACGGCCCAAUCCAACAUAUAAAUAUAAAUUGUGUAUUGCCUAGGGUCGAACGGCACGAACCAUAGAUGCAUCUAUUUAACCUUCUGAGGCAAACGGCCCGCUCCCAUUAGAGUAGUGGAAAUUUAUCCCGCUCGUGAAAUAUAAUUGCGACGUGGUUACACAUAGAUUUCUUAAGUUAUUAUAAUAUUCCUCAAUUUCUUUACGAAAACACGAAGUCUAAAUGAAAACUUUUUAAAAAAAACUUAAUUUCCUCAAUUUCAAUUCUUCUCAAGGCAAACAAUAACCACAAAUCAAAUAACAAUAUCAGCAAGGCAUGAUGUAAACCUAAAACUACCCGGACAUAGGCAUAGCUAGUAGCUACAUACGGACUCUCGUCACCUCGUGUGUACGUAGCCCCCGCAAGUAGAAGCACAUAUUUAAUCAAUUCACCUAUGGGGUUAAUUCCCUCUUACAAGGUUAGAAAGGAGACUUACCUCGCUCCGCAAUUCCAUAACCGGCUCCAAAGCCUCUCCAACUACUCAAACUGGUGCCCGUCGCUCCAAAACUAGUCAAUAAAUGUGCAAAUCCAUAAAUAUAUACUCUAACACUCAUUAUAAUUCAAUUUACAAUGAUUCCCAACUCCGCUCGAAAAGUCGAUAAAAUCACCCUCCGGCUCACAUGCCCAGAUUCCGAAAAUUCUCGAAGACAAAUACUACCCAUAGCACUACGAACUCAAAUAUAUAAUUAAUUUCCAAUUUCAUGCCCAACUUCGUGGUCAAAAUCCAAAAAUACCAAUUUCGAGGUUUUUCUUCAAAAUCCAAAAUCUCUACAAAUUUUCAAGUCUAAAUCCUUAUAUAAUCCAAGUAUUUAACUUGCAAUAGGUGGGAAUCACUUACCUUGAUAUAGAUAACGAAAGUACCCCAUCCAAGAGCUCCAAAUAUCGCCCAACCAAAUGAAAAAUGGGUGAAAUGAACCCAAACCCCGCUUUAAAAGCAUUAUGCCAGCCCGACUUUCGCACUUGCGGCCUCUUCGUCGCAGGUGCGGCCAAAAACCUCGCACCUGCGCAUUCCCUUUUCCCAGCACAGCUCCACAUCUGCGCCCCAUGCGGCGCACCUGUGCUUCCGCUUCUGCGAUCCUCAUGCACAUCUGCGCCUUCGUAGGUGCGGACAUUCCCGCGCACAUGCGCUCCCAGACUUUUCUCUCAAUCUCACACAUGCGACGCACCUCCGCAUCUGCGAUCUCGAGGUGCGGACAACCCUUCACACUUGCGGUCACUGCCCAGCUUUGCCCAAACCGCACUUACAACCAUUGGCUCGCACCUGCGGCCCUUUUCACGCAGGUGCGAUCACACCAUAUAUGAGAUGCCUCAUCAAAUUCGAUCUGUUAACCAUCCGGAAUCCACUCGAGGCCCUCGGGACCUCAACCAAUUAUACCAACACGUCCCAAAACACAUUACGAACUUAAUUGAGCCGUUAAAUCACAUCCAACAACAUCGAAACUACGAAUCACCCUCCAAUUCAAACUCGGUGAACUUUAGAACUUCAAACUCCUACAAUCGAUGUCGAAACCUAUGAAAUCACGUCCGAUUGACCUCAAAAUUCGUACACAAGUCAUAAUUGAUAUUACGGACCUAUUCCAACUUUCGAAAUCGGAAUCUGACCCUGAUAUCAAAAGUCCACUCUCGGUCAAACUUCUCAAAAAUCAUCCAAAUUCCAACUUUCGCUAAAUAACCUAUGGACCUCCAAAUCCACAUCCGGACGCGCUCCCAAUACCAGAAUCAUCAUACGGAGCUAUUCCCGGGCUCGAAAUCCCAAACGGGCAUUGAUAACAUUGAAAUUCACUUCAACUCAAAUUUAUGAAAUUUUUCCAAAAGGCCAACUUCCAUAACAUACGUUGAAACGCUCCCGGGUCAUCCAAAACCCGAUCCGGACAUACGCCCAAGUCUAAAAUCAUCAUAUGAACCUGUUGGAACCUUCAAAUCUCGAUUCCGAGGUCGUUUACUCAAAAAUCAUACUUUAGUCAAUUCCUCCAACUUAAGACUUCCGAAAUUAGAAUUUUCUUUCCAAAUCAACUCCGAACUUCCCGAAAUUAAAUUCCGACCACGCAUACAAGUCAUAAUACCUGAAGUGAAGCUGCUCAGGGCCUCAAACCGUUGAACGACGCGCUAUAGCUCAAAAUGAUCGGUCGGGUAGUUACAUUUCACAUCUUGAUUUUUUCUUUUUUGUUGUUUUUCGCUAUUUGUUUAUCUCUGUUAUUUUUUGUCACUGUUUCUUUCUUUUUGUUCUUCUUAUUAUUUUUUGUUUGUUUAUCACUCAGUUUAUUUAAUGGCUAUUUAUUUUUUGUUUGUUUAUCACUCAGUUUAUUUAAUGGCUAUGAUCUAAUCCGAUGAGGAUUGCCUGCGUAUCAUGGCGUCGCAUGAAUCAGAUCAUCAUGUAGUUCAAGUAUAUCAGGCAUAGACUGACAAGGAAAAUACCUUUCGGGUUUUGAAACUUACUUAUCCUUUUUUAUUAAAGUUCGGGAAAUUUCGAAAGAAUGACUUCUAAAUAAGAAAGAAAAUAAUUUCGAUUUUUGAUUGAUUGUUUUUUUAAUACAAACUUCUAAGAAAAUAUUUGGAUUUUGGAGUUUUUUGGGGGGAAAUUUUUGAAAGAAGAACUUCUAAAGAAACAGGAAAAUAUUUUUGAAUUUUGAAUUUUUGUUUCUUAAAGAACGACAUUCUAAGAAGAAAGAAAAUAUUUUGGAUUUUUUAUAUUUUUUUAAAAUUUCCGAACAAAGAUAUAUUUUUUUUAGUAUUCAAAUUUUUGUUUGUUAGUUUUAAUUUUUUUUCUUUCUUUGUUUUUUUUCUGGAUUUGAAAAAAAAAUUGAUUGUUUAAAAUUUGGGAUGAAGAUUUCUAAAUAAAGGAAAAAUAUAUUUUUGGAUUUUGAUUUUUUCUUUCUUUUUUCAAAUAAGGAGAGGAAAAUAUUUUUGGGUUUAAAAAUUUUUCUUUUCAGGGAUUUUCUAAGGAAAGACUUCUGAAAAGGGGAUUAAGGAAAAGGAAAAUAUUUUUGGGUUUAAAAAUUUUCUUUUACGGAAUUUUCUAAGGAAAGACUUCUGAAAAGGGAAUUAAGGGAAAGGAAAAUAUUUUGGAUUUUUUGAAAAUUGGGGGCCGGACCCGAUAAAUAUUGCCUACAUAUCUCACAUCCGGUGAGAAUCACACUUGCGUAGUUCGGGAAAUUUUUCUUUUUCAAAAUUAGGGUAAAGGUCAUUUUCUGAAAGUUUUGACUCAUUUUGUAACAAUCUUCUAAGAAUUCGAUAGAGUUUCAGGAUUUUUCUUUCUCUUUUUUUUUAAUGGAAAUUUUCAGGAACCGGGUAAAUUUUCUCUCUUCUGGUUUUUGUUGAUUUUUUAUCUCUCUUCUAUAAGUCGGUCAACAUGCAAACCAGAACAAUAAAUACAAUAAGUAGCACGUAAGAAGCAUCAGGAUUGGCUUUUAUUUGGGGGGUACACCUGACAUAGACGAACCCAACCCCUGUGAUGAGUCCCCAAAGUCAAAUGCAUGUGAUGAAAACAAGCUUACCUACUAGGUCUCCGGCAUGAGGCUUUGUUCUUCUAAGUUUAAACCUUACGGUGCGGAGUUCUAGACAAGGCUUACCCGAGCGGACAACUCGAAUCGAGGGGGGACAGCGUACCAGGAAUACAGAACCUUCAUCAGCUUUGCAACUAGCCUGAUCCUCGUUAAAAUUAAUGGUAUGACAAUCUAACAGAAAAGAAUCCACGUGAAACGCAUGCUUCCCAGAAGAUUUAGAAGACUCAAAGAGAAGAAGAGUGGCGUAACAGUUUUAUAUACAGUUCACGCAAUAUCAAAGCAGUAAAGAGCGGCAAUUAGCACAUUAGGCCCAAACACGUAAAAUCAGAUAAUAAACAAAAGCCAAGUAUAAAAGUCAUCUAAGCUCGAAUUCUGAACCCUGAACCCUAAGUUCGGGGUUCUUUUCCCCAGCAGAGUUGCCAGAACUGUCACACUUCCUUUUUCGAAGAUAAGGAAUUUUUUCAAUUUAAGUAACAUUAUUUGAAAUGGGAUUAAUUUAUUUUAUUUAUUUAUUAUAGAGUCGUCAUUUGAAAUAAUUAUUUACGGCGUCCCAAGUUGCCAUUUAUUUUAAAUCCCAAAUCAAUAAAUUUGACUCUGUAUAAGUCUGCGAAACACAAAAGACCGAUAAGGAAUUCUGUUAACCCGGAAGAAAGUGUAAGGCACUUCCGGAUUCCGUGGUUUUAGCACGGUCGCUUUACCAUUAAACUCGGCUUAAUUAUCCAAAUAUUACGUGUUUAGAAACUAUGUGCAUUUACCUUUUAUACCGCUUUUAAAUAUAUGUUUCGGCCAUUUUAAGUAUUUAUGAAAUUUAUUUGAACAAGUUACGAUGUCGUACACUUGUCGUUUUGUACAUACUGCAAACCGCGCCACGUGAAACGCACCCGCGAUUUGUGACAUAUUUAUUUUAUUAUUAGUUGAAGUUGGGGUCGAGUCAUACAUGCGUGCACCUGAAUUUAGGAUUAGAUGUCACAGUUAUGCCGCGGGAAACGUAUCUAUAAGUUGACGAAUUAUUUUUUAAACACACCUAAAGCCAACUAUGAGUAUUCAUGUAAUUAAUUUGACUAAAUUUGAGAUUUUAUUAUAAAGGUCCAAGAAUUAUGGAAUGUUAUUAUGGGUAAAGAUACAUUAAUGACUGUUUAUAAAGUGGUCGUAUGGGAAUUUUAAAAGCACUACAUUUGUUCAUCUUUAACCACUGGAAGUAUUGAAAUGGAAAGAUUCGAUAAGUUAUAAUAAUAAAUUAUUUGGAUCACUAGGGGGAUCUACUGCCAAUACUAAUGGUACUUUGAUGAAUUAAUUACGCCUACUCCCUCCUUGACUCGUUAGCUGUAGAAACUGGAUGAUAGUGCCAAAGAUCACAUUGAUUACAUAAUAGCAAUGGACAUUUAACAGGUCGUGUGAGAUGUAACUAUCCGAUCGGUUGUUUUGAGCUCUAGUAUGUCGUUCGGCGGGUUGAGGCCUUGAGUAGCUUCACUUCAUAUUUUAUGACUUGUACGUGUGGUCGUAAUUCAAUUUCGGGAAGUUCGAAGUGGUUACAGAAGGAAAAUUCUCAAUUCGGAAGCUUUAAGUUGGAAGAAUUGACUAAGGUUUGACUUUUGAGUGAACGACCACGGAAUCGGAAUUUGAAGGUUUCAAUAGGUUCGUAUGAUGAUUUCGGACUUGGGCGUAUGUUCGGGUUGAGUAUUGGGUGGUCUAAGAGCAUUUCGGCGUCUAUUAUGGAAGGUUGGCAUUUUGGAAGUUUAAGAAUUUCUUGAGUUUGAUUUGAAAUGAAUUUUGGUAUUAUCGAUGUCCGUUUGAAGUUCCGAACCUUGGAAUAGGUUCGUAUCGUGAUUUGUGACUUGCACGCAAAUUUUGGCGUCAUUCCGGGAUGUUUAAGCAUAAUUCGGAUGCUUUGGGCUAAGUUUAAAUGUUUGAAAGUUUAAAGAAAGGUUUUGAUCGUCCAUUUGUAGUUUUGAUAUUAUUUGGCAUGAUUUGAUGCUUCGACUAAGUCCGUAUUGUAUUUUGAGGUGUGUUUGUACGUUUAGAUGGGGUCCGGGGGGGCUUGGAUUUGAAAUGGAUUGAAAACGGAUUGAAACUUGAAAUUUGGGACAUGUUGUUGCUGUUGAAGUUUUGUGUCAUCGCACCUGCGGAAGGAGUGGCCGCAGGGGCGGUCAUGCAGGUGCGUAGGGGGUCAUCGUAGGUGCGAAUUUGGUGGAGGAGGUCUGGGAGCGCAGGUGCGAGGAAGAUUCUGCACCUGCGAAGUCGCAGAUGCGGAGAAGGGAUCGCAAAAGCGGUCAUGGGUGAGAGGCUAUGGUUGCGCAGGUGCGAGGGAAUUUCCGUACCUGCGAGCUCGUAGGUGCGGGCCGUUGGUCGCAGAAGCGAGAAGGGGCCUUGGGCUGAUGAAGCGCAGAAGCGAAGUUUUUGUCGCAAAAGCGACGCCACACGUGCUGCUGGAUGUCCGCUGGUGCGGAAGUCGCUGGGCAAAAGGGUUCUUUUAAAUCGAGACUUAGCUCUCAUUUCUCACUUGGACGGCCGAAUUUAGGGAGCUAUUUUGAGGGGGUUUUCAUCGAGCAACUCGAGGUAAGUGAUUUCCCCCUAUUACAAGUUAAAUACUUGGAUUUUAUAAAGGGUUUUUAACUUGGAAAUUAGGGAAAUUUAAGGAGAAACCUAGAAUUGAUAUUUUGGAUUUUUACCACGAUUUUGGACAUGUAAUUGCGGAUAAGAUAUAUAUUUGAGUUCAUAAUAUUAUGGGUAAUGAUUUUCUUCGAGAAUAUUUGGAAUCCGGGCACGUGAGCCCGAGGGUUGACUUUAUUAACUUGUCGAGCGAUGUUGGAAAUUAUUAUAAAUGAAUUAAUUAUGAUGUUGGAGCAUAUUUUUAUUGUCUUUCAUGAUAAAUUGACUAGUUCGGAUCGAUGGGCAUUUGGUUUGAGGCGUUGGAGCCAGUUAUGGAGCUUCGAAGCGAGGUAAGUCUCUUGUCUAACCUUGUGAGGGGAAUAUACCAUGUAGGUAUUAUAUUCUUAUAUGUUACAUGUUAUGAGAGCUACGCAUGUAUAACAUGACAAGUGUCUGUGUGUAUGCUAGGAUUCUUGAUUAUAUCCAGGUAGACUUAGUGUCACGACCCAAAAUCCACUAUAGGUCGUGAUGGCGUCUAACACCAUCAUAAAUAAUCCACCAAUGCACCGAUAACCAUAAGCUCUAAGUCUACCCAGACAUAAACAUGCUUUAGCUACGUACGGACUCUCGUCACCUCGUGUGUACAUAGCAUCCACAACUAAUUGCACAUAUUAAUAAAUGUCACUUAGGGGUAGUUUCCUCCUCACAAGGUUAGACAAGAGACUUACCUCGCUCCGAAGUUCCAUAACCGGCUCCAACGCUACUUUAACACCUCAAAUUGAUCCCGUCGCUCCAAAAAAUUGCAAAUAUUCUCGAAUCGUCAAGCAAAUGAGAACCUCGAACAGGAAACCAAAUGCCUUGCCGGAACCUCAACGAACCUCGACCAAACCGCCUCGAACUCGACUCGUUUGUAGUGAUUGAUAGAGUAGGAAGGAGCUGCUGGUUUUGGCUGAAGGACGACAGCUUUCGUGGUGAUUUUCGGAAUGUUUUAAGAUUGCUCUUGGUGAUGUUUUGGGCUGCUCUCAGCUGGAUUUCGGGACUGAUUUUAGCUGAAGUUUAUGGGAUUAUUUUUGUCCUAUUUUUUGUGUUGAUUUUGUUGUGUUUUGAGAGUGAUUUCAGCUGCGUUUUUGAGUGAUUUUGGGGCUGUUUUGGGUCUGUUUCAGAUUGUGUUAGAGCUGGAUUUUGGGGUUGUUCGCAGCGGGUCUUUUGCAGCAUUUUAGGAGGUUGUUCAGGGCUGUUUCGGAGUCGUUUUUGGACUGAGAAGAAGGCUGGUUUGGGGGUAGAUUUCCAAGUCGUUUUUGGGCUGCUCUUGGUCUAUUUUGGAGGCUGAUUUUUGGUGGUCUUUGCAGCCAAAAAGCUGCUGGAUUUUGCUGGAGUUUGGUUGUUCCAAGCUGGGUUUAGAGUAGUUUUAAUGGAGAUUUGGGGCUGUUUUGGGGUGGAUUUUUCAGCUGGGUUUUGGGGGUUUACAAUGCUCAUUUUUUAAUGGUGGGCUUAGAGGCUGAGAAAGAUGAGUGAAGAGGGAGGCACAGGCUGUGUUUUUGGGCUCUGCUUUUCGGAAGACCGGCCACCCUUUUUCUAGCUCUCUCAACCAAUGAUCCAAAAUAUACCCAAGCCCCUCAGGAACCCGUCAAAUCAUACCAACAAGUUCCAAAAUAUGAUACAAACUUAUUCGAAGCAUCAAAUCACAUCAAACAACGCCGAAAUUACGAAUCGCGCCUCGAAUCGAAUUAUGAGUUAUAAAAUUUCCAAAUUCUAUAAUUUGUGCCAAAGCGUAUCAAAUCAAUCCGGAAUGACUUCAAAUUUUGUACACAAGUCAUAAAUGACAUAAAGGACUUGUUCCAAUUUUUGAAAUCGAAAUCUGAGGUCGAUAUCAACCAAGUCAACUUCUGGUCAAAUUUAUGAAUAUUUCAAAACUUCAACUUUCUAACUUAAAGCUUCCGAAUUGAGAACUUUCCUUCCGAAACAACUCCGAACUUCUCGAAAUUUAAUUUCGACCACACGUACAAAUCAUAAAAUAUGAAGUGAAGCUACUCGAGGCCUCAAACCGCCAAACGACGCGCUAGAGCUCAAAAAGAUCAGUCAGGUCAUUACACUUAGGCUCCCGCCAUGCUUUAAUUGUACUAAUUGAGUUAUCCUUGCUUGUUUAAUUCCUUUACUUCAUGUUGCGACAUGAGAUUAGGCUUGCGUAGAGACAUAGACUCACUAUUGUGGAGAUUUUAUGAGCUACUUGAUUAGCCGCGGAAUAAUUGUGUUUCCCUUACAAAUUCCUCUUGCGUUGUGCAUUUUCAUUGAAAAGUUUCUUUAAAUUUCAUAACUCACACGUAUCUUCGUGAGUGGGGUCAAGGACCCGUUAAAGCUUCUUAUUCUAAUGAGAUCAGGUCGUUCGCCUCGGCAAUUUCAUAUUCUCAUGGGAGCGGGUCGUUCGCCUCGGCAGUAUAAUAGAUGCAUCUAUGGUUUGUGUCGUUCGACCCUCGACAGUGUACACAUUAUUAUGGGAUUGGGUUGUACGCCUCGACAUUUCUAUAAAUACUCUUAUGGGAUCGGGUCGUUCACCUCGGCAACGUCGUGCGUAAUAUUUGGCAAGAAACCAUCGUGUGGAAGAAGAAGAAUUAGUGUGGCUUCCCUUUUUGCGUUUUUGCUCUCUAAGAUUUUCUAAUUUUGUUCUCUCCCCCUUUUUCAGGUGUUCCCCUUUGUUUUCUCUCGUUUCCCCAGCCCCUUUUUAGUGUGUUUGAGCGUGUUUAUAUAAAAGAGAUAAAGAAGAAGAAAUGAGUUGGAGGGAGACGGGGUGUGAGCUCUGUGUGUCUUGGGGAGAAAGAAAAAUGUGCAGGAGCUUUUUGUAAAAAGGAAUCCAACGUGUAGUGUGAGGAGUGUGCAGGUGAGUUUGUUACAAAAGAUAUGAAAGAAUCUUGCUAGGUGGCAUUUUUGCAUUGGUUCUUUUUUUUUCUUUUCUUUUUAAAGAUAAACUAAAAUUAAAAAUAUUAUACUAGUAUUUUAAACUAGAAAAAAUAUAAGAAACUAUUAAGAAAAGUUAUAAAAAUUGCUAGUCUUACCAAAAAUUAGAAGAAAAAUAUAUUAUUAUUUUUUGUGAAUUUUCUUUUCUUUUGCAAAUAAAACACAACUAUGAUCUAAAAUGUGAAUGUGAUUUUUAAUUUUAUAAAAUAAACCUACUAAAAAGUGAAAUAAAGGCUUAAAUAUCAAUAUUAAACUUAGCAAAUAUUUACAUACUAAAAAGUGAUGAAAAAAUCAAAUAUAGUCAAAAAUUAGGUGCUCACAGCUGCCCCUCUGUGCUUGAAAACAUGAAGAGUUUUCAGGGAAAGACAAGGUGAGCCAUGUGACUAAUAUUUGACCAAAUCUUUAUUCAAAAGGGAAAAUAAACAAUGGAAAGGGUGCAAUCGAGUCCUGAUUUUGGACAGCCUACAUAUCUUGGGUCAUAAGGGAAUCGGGUCGCGUGUAGUUCAAGGAGAAUGAUGGAAUGAUGAGUUCGAGAGUUUAGUAAGGUUCCGUCGAGGCUCCGGUCUGUGGUCCUGCUAUUACAUUAAAAUCAAAAUCAAAAGAAACUAAACAAGCCUAUCAGUUAUGAGUUACAAGAUUCAUAUUUAUAAGUCUUCUAAAAUUUGAUCUUGAGUCUUGACUGGUUCUUCACGCAGACUCUGUUCUGAACCUUGAUGCUUGCUAGCUGCAGGUGUUAGUUAAUUCUUCUAAGGCUUCUUCCGGUCAAAACGAGAAAUGCAAUGCUCGUGACUUCAGUCACGUCUUGAGCAUUCCACAUCUUUUCAUCUGCCUCUGCAUUUUGGAUUCACUUCUUUUUUAUUUUCUUUUUUUUUCUUUAUUCUGGAUUGAGACUUCUUCUUUUGAUCAUCUCGGACCUUCUUAGACACCAAAACAAACAAACAAACGAAAUUUUUCUGCCCCAGUUUUCACUAGAAAAAUUUUGUGAGUUAUUUGUAACAAAAACUCUAAACUACUUCAUUAUUGAAAGCAAUAAGAAUUUGGGAAUGGUGUACCCUCGGAAAACAUGAUUAUUUGGUAAUGUUGUACCCUAAUUUUCUAAAUAGUGCCUCAAUUAAGGAUUGGUGUACCUUAUGUUAGGGAAAUAUGAUGAGGGAAUGGUGUACCUUAUAUUUAGCAAAGAUAUCAGGGAGUGGUGUACCCUGCAUUUAAGAUAAAAUCAACUAGGGAGUGGUGUACCCUAUGUUGGAAAACACAGCUAGGGAUUGGUGUAUCCUAUACUGGUAAGGAGAUCAUGGAGUGGUGUACCCUGCAUUUAAGCUCACAUCAACUAGGGAGCAGAGACCCUAUGUUGGAAAAGGGAGACUAGGGAGUGGAGACCCUAUGUCUAAAAUAACAUCAACUAGGGAGUGGAGAUCAACUAGGGAGUGGAGACCCUAUGUCUAAAAUAACAUCAACUAGGGAGUGGAGACCCUAUGUCGGAAAAGGAGACUAGGGAGUGAAGACCUUAUGUCUAAAAUAAAUCAACUAGGGAGUAGAGACCCUGUGUUGGAAGAGGAGACUAGGGAGUGGAGACCCUAUGUCUAAAAUAAUAUCAACUAGGGAGUGGAGACCCUAUNNNNNNNNNNNNNNNNNNNNUGCAAUUAGGGAAAGAUGUACCAUAUACUAACAUGCGACUAUGUUUUCCUUUUUCUUUUUAUUUUUUGAGAAAAAUAUUUUUUUUAAAAAAACAAAUUAUCUUAAAGUUUAUUUCCUGAGGGCAUGAACAUUUUUUUUUAUAAGAUCUAGACUUCUUUUUUUUUUUUAAAACAAUUAUCCUAGGAGAAAAUUCAUAAGAUUAGGGAUUUUUUAUAUAUCUUAGGAGAAAGAUUCAUCAGUCUAAGACUUUGUAUCCUAGGAAAAAGUUCGCCAGAUUAGGGCUUUUUAUCUUAUGAGAAAGAUUCAUCGGACUAAGACGUCUAUCCUAGGAGAAAAUUCAUCAGACUAGGGAUUCUUAUCUUAGGAGAAAAUUCAUUAGACUAAGAUUUCUAUCCUAGGACAAAGUUCAUCAGACUAGGCUUUUUUUUUAAUCUUAGGAGAAUGAUUCAUCAGACUAAGAUUUCUAUCCUAGGAGAAAAAUUAUCAGACUAGAUUUUUCUUAUCUUAGGAGAAAGAUUCAUCAAACUAAGACAUCUAUCCUAGGAGAAAAUUCAUCAGACUAGGGAUUCUUAUCUUAGGAGAAAACUCAUCAGACUAAGACGUUUAUCCUAGGAUAAAGAUUCAUCAUACUAGGUUUUUUUUUCUUUGUUAUCUUAGGAGAAAGAUUCAUCAGACUAAGAUUUCUUAUCCUAGGAGAAAAUUCAUUAGACUGGGUUUUAUUUAUCUUAGGAGAAAGACUUAUCAGACUAAGACUUCUAUCCUAGCAGAAAGUUCAUCAGACUAGGUUUUCUUAUCUUAGGAGAAAGAUUCAUCAUACCAAGACUUUGUAUCCUAUGUGAAAAUUCAUCAGACUAGGUUUUGUUUUCUUUUUUAUCUUAGGAGAAAGUUUCAUCAGACUAAGAUUUCUAUCCUAGGAGAAAAUUCAUCAGACCAAGUUUUCUUAUCUUAGGAGAAAUAUUCAUCAGACUAAGACUUUGUAUCCUAGGAGAAAAUUCAUUUAUGAUUUUUAUCCUAGGAGAAAGUUUAUUAGACUAGGGCUUUUUAUCUUAGGAGAAUGAUUUAUCAGACUAAGAUUUUUAUUGGAAGGAAAGAUCCAUCAGACUAGGAUGCAUUACCCUAGGAGAAAAAUGUGAAGAGAAAUGAUAUGAUUUUAUGCAUUUUAGAAAGACAAAAAAAGGUAAAGAUUUGAGAAACUUCCCUUUGUCAGCUCUUCUCUUCUUUUCUUUUUCUUUUUCUUUACUUAAUUUUUUUUCAUUUUUCAACCCCCCCUACCCCCCCCCCCCCUUGUUUUUUUGAACCACUUUUCUUGCACUGCUUUGUUCCUGUUUCAAACAAAGAAAGUUUUUGUGAGUUUCAAAAGGAGGUGGUAAGUUUGUGACCUUGAUGUCUUUGGCAGCUUGGCCUUGUGCCCAUUCGCUUCUGGAAGACCGACUAUAUUGGUAGUUGGCUACACUGCUGGGAGACUCUGUUUUUUCUUUCAAGAGAUUUUUGCUCUUCGUAUCAAACUUGAUUGUUUCACACACAAUACCAUUUUGUGUUUGUGGCUCAAUCAACCUUAUCCCAAAAGGAUAUUUUGCUCUAGUAACCCUUUUUCUGAUUUUUUGAAUGGUUUUUGAUUUUUGAGCAAUUUGGUUGUCGGAGAGAAUCACAAUUGCAUAUGUGCCUUCCACAUGAUGUGCACACUCCAUAGUCUUUGUUUAGUACCACAAGGAACCCGUAAUCAAUCUUACGAUCUUUUCUUUGCUUGCUUUUGACAAGUAGGCCAACAUAAGUAUCUUUUGAGGGAAACUUCGUAUUGCACGAAUCCUCAACACAUGUCGAUUGCAAUAACUGAGUGCAUAUUACUCCCCAGACAGUGUUGUCUUGAAUGUUCCGGCCAGAAUUUGCUUUGUGCAACUGAAAAGCUGGUAGCAGAUUUUGAAAUCCUUUCUUACUUAUUUUAAUGAGGAUCGACUCAAACAAAGGACAUAAUGAUGCGAAGAAACAAUAUAAACAAGAAAUGCCCCUGUCGGAAAGGAACGACGAGCUUUUUGUUUUUGGUAAUUAGCCUUAAUGAUCAUGACAUGCAUUUUGGACUCAACGGCCUGAUCUAUCAAACUGAUCAAAUCUUCCCUUUUACCUUUCUUAUGACCUUUGAAGUCGGGCUUGUUCGUGCCAAUCCUUUGCAUCAGCUUCACGACUCACUUUCGACUAGUGGUGCCCCGAGGAAUUUUUACCAACAAGUCUCUCUCAUUUAUUUAUCUCUACUUACCGUUGUUUUACAGCGCCUGUGAGGGUUUUCACUAGUAAGACUUUCUUUUCUUGUUUUUUCUUUUCUUGAUUCCUUGAAUGAGAACCAUGACCAUGUCCUUCAUAUGACAACCAUUGCUCAUUGCGGAUUUCCCUUGCCAUUCUCAAAACUGAUCAGGAGGUCUUGUUUGGAAGGCUUCUGGAUAUGGUUAGAAAGAAAGGACAGAAUGAAGGCUCAAAGUAGACUCAAUAUGAUGGGUUGUACACUUACAACUCUUGGAAUCGACUCUUUCAAAAACUAAAACAAACUCAUGCCCUAGUUUUAGAUACUGGAUUUUUUUUUUUUUGGUUGGAUUCUUAUUUGGUCGGAUCGAACCGUGUAAGGCUGCCUACGUAUUCUUUUUUUUAAGGAUUCAGGUCAAACAUAGUUCAAGCAUCUGACCUAACUAUUUUUUUCAUCUUUCUUUAUGUUUCUCUGCCUUUUUUUUUCUUUUUUUUCCAAAACAAAUUGCCCCAGCUUUUAUUUUCUGGGGGUAUGGACCUUUGACUGAUCUUUUUUUUCACUUGAACUUUCUAAGAGUUUCCCUAGUUUAUACUCUUGGGGCAUGGUCUUUUCUUUUCUUUCUUUAUUUUUUGACUUAACUCGAAACUUGAUUCCAAAAGAGGGUGGUCAAAGAAAAUAACUCAAGCUCAAAAGGGGUAAGGAAGGGUAUAAAGUGUUUGGAUAGCAGAAAAAUGGCCUCCCAGCCUCGAGAACGCCAAACAUAGUAACUUUUGGCGAUCACCGGAUUGAAUGAACAUGUCUGUCUCUUAGUGUAUCAUGGUCGAAAGACAGUUUCCAUGCAUUAAUGUCAAACUUUCCACCAUCAAUUGAUUCUUCCUCAAACCCGAUCUUCACAAUGAUUUGAAGGUAAAGAUCGUUAACCUCCACGAGUAUGACUAUUCUAGUUCCACAUGAAUUUUGUUCGAGCUUAAUUCCAAGGUGUUUCGACUCUUUAUUAAUCAUCAAAAAUGUCUUUUUCUCAGUUAUCCAAUUCAACACUAGAUCAAUUUUAUAAAAGCCGGUCGAAAAUUCCAUACGCAUGUCAUGUCACUAAAACUAGCGGCGAAAGAAUUAAGCAUAGAAUGACACAAAGAGACAGGAUAACACAAAGGGACAAACUGUAUUUCAUUAAAUAAAGGAUGGAAGGAUUUGACAAUAAGACAAAUAAACUGAAAUCGGGUUUACAGCCCUGGAUAACCUAGAUAACAGAAAAUAUGGCAAAACAAGCUACCAAGACUCCUCUAUGUCUAAAAGAGGAGUGACUUUCCAGUUGCUAGGCGACAUCUUAGCCACAAAUUUGCAUAUCAGCACUACUACGGCAUUCAGUCUUUUUUAUUGCUUUUUAUUCAACACUCAAAUUUUGACUUUUUGAUCAAAUCGUUCCCAAUAUUGACUAUCGGAUUUCAGGACUGACGACAUGGGAGAUUUCAUAGCAACUAAUUUCCCAAAGGACUUGAAAGAUUUUCAUGUCUCUCCAUCAUCAAAUCAUCCCGAGCAGCGCAUAUCCUAUUGCUUAAACCUGGUAAAGUCAACCAACAUUUGCCUCCCUUUUUGAUUUUUCACGACCAACUUGCCUAGUUUCCUUUUCGUGACCUUGGAUCAAACAGUGGUGCUUGUUCCAUUAGUUGAGAAGAUAUUUUUAUUUCUGAGGAACCUUGGAUUGUUUUUGUGACUCGCCAUUGCAAACCAACAAACCGACCACCUUUAACCAGGUUUUAUUUCAAAACAACAAACAUGUUAGAAUGAACACUCUUUCUUUUUCCUUUUCUCUUUUCUUUUUUUUUUCUUUCUUUCUUUUCUCUCUUUUUUUUGUUUUUUUUUUUAACCAUUCAAUCGAACCUGCUAUGGGUUGCCUACGUAUCAUGCAGGAACAUGAAUCAGAUCUUGCGUAGUUCAGAAAGAUCAGAAAUAAAGUAAAUAAAUUAACCCUUUUUUGAAUUUUGAAUUUUAUUUAUAAUUUCCGAAAGAAAGACUUAUAAAGAAGAAAGAAAAUAUUUUUGAAUUUUGAUUUUUUUUUAUUUUUUAGUUUUUUGAGAAUUUUUUAAAAGAAAGACUUUUAAAUAAGAAAGAAAAUAUUUUUGUUUUAUUUUUUUUGAAUUUUGAUUUGUUUUCUUUUUUUGGAAUUUUGAAAGAAAAACUUCUAAAAAAGAAAGAAAAUAUUUUUAAAUUUUUGAACUUUUAUUUUGAAUUUAUGAAAGAAAAACUUCUAAAGAAAAAAGAAAAUAUUUUUGAAUCUUGAAUUUUCUUCUCAAUUUUCGAAACAAAAUCAGCAACACAGACACUGAAAUGCCAAAUAAAGGCAGAGUGAAGACGAGAAGAAUUCAGCAAUGCAUAAUCAGCAACACAUCUUCAAUUUAGGUCCAAAAUCGACUCAAAGCAACCAGAUAUUAUUGAAACAAAGGAGUAGAAAUCAGUCCAGCCUUUGAAAUUCCCUUUUCUACACUUUUCCCCUUUUUGAUAUUUUUGUUAUCCUAAAUCUCAGAUCUCAGUUAAUAUUUUUUAAAUUUUUAAAGUUUUUACUCAUAGCUUUGAAUAUGAAGAGCUUUCAAGUCCGUGAAGUGUGUGAGUGAAUGAGAGGAGUGAGAAUUUUUGUGUGAGCGAGAUGAGAGAGAAUGUGUGAGUAAGAAUGAAUGAACAAUCUAUCAAUGUGUAUUAUGUUAUAUAGAAAAUGCAGAGAAUCUUUUCAGUUAUUUCCUUUCUCUUUCAUCCCUCUUCUUUUGUUAUUUUCCCCUUUACCCCCGACCCCUUCCCUCUUUUGUUUGCUAAACAUGUCCUUUUUAAAUUAUUCCUUUUCCUCUAACCCUUCUGCCCCUUUGUUCCUAAACUCGAAUCCAAUGGGCCUGCCUUAUAGGGAGACGCAAAUUUCUUAAUACCCAAUAAUCAACAAAACAUUAUCAAUCAAUUUCAAAUUCCGAUUAAACAACAAUUACUACAGCGAUUAAAACAAAUUGGAAUAUGCAAUCACGUAAUUUGGCUAAUGAUCAAUGUAAUCAAACAGUUCCUCUUUACUUUUCAAACUAUGCCUACUAAUAAUUAAACUAACACAUUAACACCUAAAACCACGACAUCUGUGAAUAAUAAUGAAGAAACAAAAUUAAGGAAAAGAAACUUACAGUCGAUAAGACCCAAAAGCCAAGGAGAUGAUUCAAAACACCGGCGUUUCAAUGUUUAACGGUAACGAUCUUUGUCUAAUGAACAUUGAUCUGGACCCUUGAUGUCCGAUAAGUGUUUCAUUGGACAAAGCCCGUUGAGGUUCAACGGAGUUUGACAGAUACAAAAGAUUCCGACGGCCUAGAAACAGAUCGAAUACUAAUACCAAAUUGGAAUACACAACAAGGAGGGUUAAUUGGUGCACGUUUCGACCUCGAGCAAGCUGAGAUUUAGGAGAAAACAAGAAGGGGAUGGAUUAGAUUUUUGGUUUGGUUCUUAGAUCUAAAAAUCAUGAAACUAUGAGGACCUUAAGAAAAAUCCAAUGGAAGAUUAAGAGAGAGAGGGAGAUGGAGAUCACGUGUCGAAAAUUUUGGGAUGUUUGGAAGUCGGCCGCCGCCGUGGGCGAUUUUCAGCGGCGGCGUUGGACAGAGAAACAGUGGUGAGAGAAGAGGGUGUUCUGAGAGGCUUUUGGGGGUAGGGACUUGGUUCGUACAGUUAUAUGGGGAAGAAGAGUUAGUUCCCAGUCGUUCGAUCAAGAAGAAUGAAUGGCCGAGAUUACGCACGCCAAAAACGACGUCGUUUGGUAGUCUCUUGGAGACGAGGCGAAGGGAUCGGGUCUGGAGUGAUUUGGGCAAAGGUUUGGGCCUGAAACAAUGGCCCAGUCCGGUUUUUUAACCCACCAAUUCCCAUUUCCCUCUUUGUUUUGAUUUUCAACAUUAGCCACUUAUCCUAACAAACCUAAUUUUAAAACUAAUAUGCAAAAUUAACCCAUUUAACUAUUUUAACAACUAAAACUAAUCAAUUACUUUUACAAAUUAAAAGAAAAGAGACUAAUUAACUGCAC
rnacentral:lncRNA from 1 species